GUACACUCCUGCGGGAGGCAGCAGUGGGGAAUAUUGCACAAUGGGCGCAAGCCUGAUGCAGCCAUGCCGCGUGUGUGAAGAAGGCCUUCGGGUUGUAAAGCACUUUCAGCGGGGAGGAAGGCAAUGCGGUUAAUAACCGUGUUGAUUGACGUUACCCGCAGAAGAAGCACCGGCUAACUCCGUGCCAGCAGCCGCGGUAAUACGGAGGGUGCAAGCGUUAAUCGGAAUUACUGGGCGUAAAGCGCACGCAGGCGGUCUGUCAAGUCGGAUGUGAAAUCCCCGGGCUCAACCUGGGAACUGCAUUCGAAACUGGCAGGCUUGAGUCUUGUAGAGGGGGGUAGAAUUCCAGGUGUAGCGGUGAAAUGCGUAGAGAUCUGGAGGAAUACCGGUGGCGAAGGCGGCCCCCUGGACAAAGACUGACGCUCAGGUGCGAAAGCGUGGGGAGCAAACAGGAUUAGAUACCCCAGUAGGCCCAUGAU
rnacentral:rRNA from 1 species